rnacentral:tRNA from 1 species
GGUGUAGUAGUUUGAGUGUUGGACUGUGACUCAAGAGACCAGGGUUCAAUUCCCUGCUCAACCG